AAGUAGAUGUAUAUCAUCAGAGAAAAGAUGGACGAGAAUUAACAGGGAAGUAUGAAAGUGGGAUCGGAGCUUUGCUUCCACUUGAUUUGUUUUUCGACCUGUGGUUGGAUGAUGAACAAGGCUCCUGCGCCUCUUUCGCAUUUUCUUUAUCGUUCACUCGCGCAGAUGAAGACGGCUGGAAACAACUCAACAUACCUGAGAAAUACCCCAUAUAUAUUUUCUGUAUAUGCAACAAGCUUUAUAUUAUUAUGUGUAUCAAAAACAGUGUUGUAGAAAACGAGAAUCGGACUUAAUCAGUGAACUCACUGACCAAUAAUUAAUUGGGGAUUAAGCGGAUGAUUAAUAGAACAAUCGGAUAUUUGAUCAGUUCGGCGAAUUUAAUCGGUGAUUAAUCGUGAUUAAUAACCUACUUUUAGAACAGAAAUAAAAAGUAAAUGGAUGGAUUAGCUCAAAAACAAGCAGUGGAGAAGACAAGGAGAAAGAAAAAGAGCUAGUGCGUUUUGUAUAUGGUGUGUUUUGUGGUGCAUUUCAUCUUAUCAGUUAUCACUCUCUCUUUUAUAGGCAUUUGAGAGACCUCUCCUAGAAGAAUCUUGGAA
rnacentral:lncRNA from 1 species